AUCCAGCUGACGAGUCUCAAAUAAGACGGAAACACGUGCCCUGGAU
rnacentral:hammerhead_ribozyme from 1 species